rnacentral:rRNA from 1 species
GGGUUGUGAGGUUAAGCGACUAAGCGUACACGGUGGAUGCCCUGGCAGUCAGAGGCGAUGAAGGACGUGCUAAUCUGCGAUAAGCGUCGGUAAGGUGAUAUGAACCGUUAUAACCGGCGAUUUCCGAAUGGGGAAACCCAGUGUGUUUCGACACACUAUCAUUAACUGAAUCCAUAGGUUAAUGAGGCGAACCGGGGGAACUGAAACAUCUAAGUACCCCGAGGAAAAGAAAUCAACCGAGAUUCCCCCAGUAGCGGCGAGCGAACGGGGAGGAGCCCAGAGCCUGAAUCAGUGUGUGUGUUAGUGGAAGCGUCUGGAAAGGCGCGCGAUACAGGGUGACAGCCCCGUACACAAAAAUGCACAUAUUGUGAGCUCGAUGAGUAGGGCGGGACACGUGGUAUCCUGUCUGAAUAUGGGGGGACCAUCCUCCAAGGCUAAAUACUCCUGACUGACCGAUAGUGAACCAGUACCGUGAGGGAAAGGCGAAAAGAACCCCGGCGAGGGGAGUGAAAAAGAACCUGAAACCGUGUACGUACAAGCAGUGGGAGCCUCUUUUAUGGGGUGACUGCGUACCUUUUGUAUAAUGGGUCAGCGACUUAUAUUCUGUAGCAAGGUUAACCGAAUAGGGGAGCCGAAGGGAAACCGAGUCUUAACUGGGCGUUAAGUUGCAGGGUAUAGACCCGAAACCCGGUGAUCUAGCCAUGGGCAGGUUGAAGGUUGGGUAACACUAACUGGAGGACCGAACCGACUAAUGUUGAAAAAUUAGCGGAUGACUUGUGGCUGGGGGUGAAAGGCCAAUCAAACCGGGAGAUAGCUGGUUCUCCCCGAAAGCUAUUUAGGUAGCGCCUCGUGAACUCAUCUCCGGGGGUAGAGCACUGUUUCGGCAAGGGGGUCAUCCCGACUUACCAACCCGAUGCAAACUGCGAAUACCGGAGAAUGUUAUCACGGGAGACACACGGCGGGUGCUAACGUCCGUCGUGAAGAGGGAAACAACCCAGACCGCCAGCUAAGGUCCCAAAGUCAUGGUUAAGUGGGAAACGAUGUGGGAAGGCCCAGACAGCCAGGAUGUUGGCUUAGAAGCAGCCAUCAUUUAAAGAAAGCGUAAUAGCUCACUGGUCGAGUCGGCCUGCGCGGAAGAUGUAACGGGGCUAAACCAUGCACCGAAGCUGCGGCAGCGACACUAUGUGUUGUUGGGUAGGGGAGCGUUCUGUAAGCCUGUGAAGGUGUGCUGUGAGGCAUGCUGGAGGUAUCAGAAGUGCGAAUGCUGACAUAAGUAACGAUAAAGCGGGUGAAAAGCCCGCUCGCCGGAAGACCAAGGGUUCCUGUCCAACGUUAAUCGGGGCAGGGUGAGUCGACCCCUAAGGCGAGGCCGAAAGGCGUAGUCGAUGGGAAACAGGUUAAUAUUCCUGUACUUGGUGUUACUGCGAAGGGGGGACGGAGAAGGCUAUGUUGGCCGGGCGACGGUUGUCCCGGUUUAAGCGUGUAGGCUGGUUUUCCAGGCAAAUCCGGAAAAUCAAGGCUGAGGCGUGAUGACGAGGCACUACGGUGCUGAAGCAACAAAUGCCCUGCUUCCAGGAAAAGCCUCUAAGCAUCAGGUAACAUCAAAUCGUACCCCAAACCGACACAGGUGGUCAGGUAGAGAAUACCAAGGCGCUUGAGAGAACUCGGGUGAAGGAACUAGGCAAAAUGGUGCCGUAACUUCGGGAGAAGGCACGCUGAUAUGUAGGUGAAGUCCCUCGCGGAUGGAGCUGAAAUCAGUCGAAGAUACCAGCUGGCUGCAACUGUUUAUUAAAAACACAGCACUGUGCAAACACGAAAGUGGACGUAUACGGUGUGACGCCUGCCCGGUGCCGGAAGGUUAAUUGAUGGGGUUAGCGCAAGCGAAGCUCUUGAUCGAAGCCCCGGUAAACGGCGGCCGUAACUAUAACGGUCCUAAGGUAGCGAAAUUCCUUGUCGGGUAAGUUCCGACCUGCACGAAUGGCGUAAUGAUGGCCAGGCUGUCUCCACCCGAGACUCAGUGAAAUUGAACUCGCUGUGAAGAUGCAGUGUACCCGCGGCAAGACGGAAAGACCCCGUGAACCUUUACUAUAGCUUGACACUGAACAUUGAGCCUUGAUGUGUAGGAUAGGUGGGAGGCUUAGAAGUGUGGACGCCAGUCUGCAUGGAGCCGACCUUGAAAUACCACCCUUUAAUGUUUGAUGUUCUAACGUUGACCCGUGAUCCGGGUUGCGGACAGUGUCUGGUGGGUAGUUUGACUGGGGCGGUCUCCUCCUAAAGAGUAACGGAGGAGCACGAAGGUUGGCUAAUCCUGGUCGGACAUCAGGAGGUUAGUGCAAUGGCAUAAGCCAGCUUGACUGCGAGCGUGACGGCGCGAGCAGGUGCGAAAGCAGGUCAUAGUGAUCCGGUGGUUCUGAAUGGAAGGGCCAUCGCUCAACGGAUAAAAGGUACUCCGGGGAUAACAGGCUGAUACCGCCCAAGAGUUCAUAUCGACGGCGGUGUUUGGCACCUCGAUGUCGGCUCAUCACAUCCUGGGGCUGAAGUAGGUCCCAAGGGUAUGGCUGUUCGCCAUUUAAAGUGGUACGCGAGCUGGGUUUAGAACGUCGUGAGACAGUUCGGUCCCUAUCUGCCGUGGGCGCUGGAGAACUGAGGGGGGCUGCUCCUAGUACGAGAGGACCGGAGUGGACGCAUCACUGGUGUUCGGGUUGUCAUGCCAAUGGCACUGCCCGGUAGCUAAAUGCGGAAGAGAUAAGUGCUGAAAGCAUCUAAGCACGAAACUUGCCCCGAGAUGAGUUCUCCCUGACCCUUUAAGGGUCCUGAAGGAACGUUGAAGACGACGACGUUGAUAGGCCGGGUGUGUAAGCGCAGCGAUGCGUUGAGCUAACCGGUACUAAUGAACCGUGAGGCUUAACCUUACAACGCCGAAGCUGUU